AUUCUGAAAUGAAAUAAAGACAAGGCAAAAUGUUAUCUUUGAGCUACAACACUGGGCUUCCAGUGGUCACUGGGAGUGGACACACAUCCAAUGCCAAACAGGCUGAUAACAGACAGGAAGCUUCAUUAUAAUCAGAAAUGGCCUUCACUGCAGGAUUCUUGUAAAAAAAAAAAAAGAAGAAGAAGAAAGAAAAAAAGAUCUUCCAUAAAGGCUUUGGAGACAGGGCGCUGCCUGAGCCGCUUCUGGGCAGGGCUGUGCAACCUUGGAAGAGUGUGGCAUCCUUCGUGGAAGCAGACCCCGGAUGCUAAGCCUGAGUGUCUCUUCUGUCACCAACUCCCUUUCCGUGAUACAUUGAGCCAGCCACACUCUUGCACCACAAUCUACUGUAAUAGUCACAGACCCAAAGCAACAGAGAAAAGUCACCAUGAACUACAGCUUCUGAAAUCAUGGGGCAGGAUAAACUUUAUCUCGGUCUCCUAGGAAUGAAAGAACUCCUAGUACUGGUUGGAGCAUGGCUUUAUAACUGCAAAAAUGAACAACAACAGUCUAGAAGACUUGGAAACAGAACACUUUAGGACACUUUGGACAAUAGGGAGUUCUUUUCAGGCUUCCUACUGCAAACCCCUUUAAAUGACUUCUGCUACAAGAAAGAGGGAAUCAAGGACAAAGUGUCCCCUUCAUUUAACAAUAUGCAUUCACAGAGACCAUUCUUUAAUUUCCUUGGUUUCAA
ensembl:lincRNA Gm14064 predicted gene 14064